UCAGGAGCUCGGUGAACUUUGUUCCCGCUUCCACCUCCUCUUCCAAGUGCACCAGGAGGAGGCGGUGGUGGCGGUGGCCCACCACCUGGAGGCCGCGGAGGCCCACCACCAGGCGGAGGAGGAGGUGGUGGUGGACCACCACCAGGUAAAGGAGGUUUUGAGGAAGGCACAUUGGUAGUUUUACCACCAGAUGAUCUUGGAGGCGGUCGUGGAACUCUAGGAGGUCGUUUCUCAAUGUCCACAAGCUUCAUUUUGGUCACGGCUUGAGCGUUUUCGCUGGCUUUAGUUUCGUUACCAUUACCAUCGUUAGACUGAUCACUUGUGGUCACUCUCACUGA
rnacentral:lncRNA from 1 species